AUGAGUAAAUGCAUACAUGCGUGCUUGACUCUCCAUACAUUCAUCUUGAUGGGAGGGAAGAAAGUGAUAGGAAAUAUUGACCGUAAGGGACAACAGACAGAGUUGGAAAGGACAGUCUUCCUUUUUCUUGAAGGCUCUACUUGGAAACUGCGUUCUACAGAGGAGGUGGUCACCACCUUUGUGCUCCACGCAAGCGUCUCUGCCCUCGGCUCCAGUCCGUGCAGUUUUCUCAGCAUUGGCACCAGGGCCACCCCACCCCUGUGUCCUCUGACGGACCCAGGGAGCAAGGGACAGGUCAUCUGAAGCUUGGAGAGGACCCACAACUUGACACUGGAGAGGAGACAGGCUCAGGUGAUCAGAUGUCUGUUCUUUACCCUCAGCGUCUGCGGGCUGAACUGGGAGCCGGAGGAGAAGUGCUGGCUGGGAGAUCCAGGGGAAAUGGGGAGACUGUGGAUGGACUGUGGACAGCUGUAAGGUAGCAGGGCAUACUUGUCACCCUUCCCUGUAUUUCUGGGGAAUGUUGCUGGCAAUGAGCAUAGUAGCAUUUCAAGUACAAAUACUUAUGGCAGAAUGCAUCAAAGCUUGAACAAUAAGGGGUUUUAGGAUCUCAUCUGAUAUGAAAUCUGGCAGAAAGACAUCUCUAGGUUUGGCUAAUUUAGCUGCUCAACAGUACCAUCAAAGACCAGGUUCUUUCCAUCUACAGUGUGUUGGUUUGUUUGGCUCCCAUGGUGCCAAGGUGGCUGCCAUAGCUCCAGGCUUCACACAUGGUCAACAAUGUGCAGAGAAAGAAAAGAAGGUAGUUUUGCUCUCUCUCACAUCUUUUUAAGAGCUGAAGAAAACACUUCCAGAAGCCUUCUGGAAGCCUUCUUCUGUGCCUCAUUGGCCCACAUUGUUUCAUUUGUCCAUCCCAAACCAUUCCCCAGAGGCUUUAACCAAUCCCUGAAGAGAAUGGAUCCUUUAGGGAGAGUGAACAAAACUUGGGUCUCUUUCUGUUAGAAAGGGGGCAACCACGUGAAUGAUUGUUGUUAGGGAUUUUUAAAAAGACUUAUUUACUUUUUUUUAGAGAGAGAGAGUGCGCGGGGGGCAGGGGCAGAGGGAGAGGAGGAGGCUUAAGCAGACUCCAUGCUGAGCACGGAGCCCAAAGCGGGACUUGAUCUCAUGAUCCUGAGAUCACAGCCUGAGCCGAAACCUGAGCCAAAACCAAGAGUCAGAUACUUAACCAACUGCGCCACCCGGGCACCCCGAUUGUUGUUAGGUUUUAACAGUGUCUGCUCUAUAAGGUUUUUGCCCCCCACCUUUUUUGGGGGGGUUGCCAUGUGCCGUAUACAUGAAAGGGUCCUGAAACCAUGAAUAAGGGAAAUAGCUGAGAUAUAACUGGGAAGCAGGUUUUCAGGGUCUGUGGCUUUCUACUGGACCUCUGACAGUCUGUAUGAUUUUGGCGGGACACCCCUCUCCUUUUCUGAUCUUAGUGUCCAUCUCUUUGGCAGGAGGAAUUCAGAGUUUUCUCACAUGACCCUUACGGACCUCCAGCUAAUCACAGUUCGUAUGGGUGGCACAGAACUCAGGAAAAGAUUUUAAAAUGGGUUUCUCCCUUCACAAAGCCAGGAGCUUUUUGAGAAGUAUUGAUCACUUCAUGGCAGACAAGCUAUGUAGCCUCAGGCAAGUUAAUUAGCCUCUCUGAGUCUCGGUUUCCUCAUCUGUAAAAUGGGGAUAGAAAUAUACCUUCCUUCCAAGGGUUGUUGGGAUAAUUAAACGGCAUAGAGGAACACACAGAAGCUGGAGUAUGGGACUUAGUCAGCAACAUUGUUAUUGUUCUCGUCGUAUCAUUACAUCAUCAGCAUCAUUACAGGCACCCCCGGGGGAUGCCACGGGUUCUGUUCCAGACCACUGCGGUAAAGCAUGUAUUGUAAUAAAGGGAGUAACAGUGGAUUUUUUUCGUUCCCAGGGCAUAUAAAGGUUAUGUUUAUACAAUACUGUAGACUGUGAAGUGUGUGAUAGCGUUAUGUCCAAAAAAGCCUUAUGUAUAUGCCUUCAUUACAAAAUAUUUUAUUGCUAAAAAAUGCUGACCAUUGGCUGAGCUUUCAGUGAACCAAAAAUCACAGAUCACAGAUGACCAUAACAAAUAUAAUAAUCAUGAAAACGUUUCAAAUACUGCAAGAAUGAGCAGAAUAGGACACAGAGACACAAAGUAUACAGAUGCUGUUGGAAAAAUGGUGUUGAUAGGCUCACCCGAUGUGGGAUUGCCACAAAACUUCCAUUUGUGAAAAACGUGCUAUCUGCAAAGUGCAGUAAAAUGAGGUAUGCCUGGGGCACCUGGGUGGUCUGGCGGUGAAGCGUCUGCCUUCGGCUCAGGUCAUGAUCC
rnacentral:lncRNA from 1 species